rnacentral:rRNA from 1 species
GUGUUCGGUUAAGUCCGUUAACGAGCGCAACCCAUGUCGUUAGUUAUAAUGUCUAACGAGACUGCCUAGGUUAAUUAGGAGGAAGGUGUGGAUGACGUCAAAUCAGCAUGGCCCUUAUGCCUAGGGCCACACACAUGAUACAAUGGUCGGUACAAAAAGCAGCAAUAUGGUAACAUAGAGCUAAUCUAAAAAGCCGAUCUCAGUCCGGAUUGAGGUCUGAAACUCGACCUCAUGAAGUUGGAAUUGCUAGUAAUCGUGAAUCAGAUAUGUCACGGUGAAUAUGUUCCUGGGUCUU